ACCCGCUGAACUUAAGCAUAUCAAUAAGCGGAGGAAAAGAAACCAACAGGGAUUACCUCAGUAACGGCGAGUGAAGCGGUAACAGCUCAAAUUUGAAAUCUGGCUCUUUCAGGGUCCGAGUUGUAAUUUGUAGAAGAUGCUUUGGGCAUUGCUCCGGUCUAAGUUCCUUGGAACAGGACGUCAUAGAGGGUGAGAAUCCCGUAUGUGACUGGUUGCAUUUGUCCGUGUAAAGCUCUUUCGACGAGUCGAGUUGUUUGGGAAUGCAGCUCAAAAUGGGUGGUAUAUUUCAUCUAAAGCUAAAUAUUGGCCAGAGACCGAUAGCGCACAAGUAGAGUGAUCGAAAGAUGAAAAGCACUUUGGAAAGAGAGUUAAACAGUACGUGAAAUUGUUGAAAGGGAAGCGCUUGCAACCAGACUUGUAGGUCGUUGAUCAUCCGGGGUUCUCCCCGGUGCACUCGGCGGCUUUCAGGCCAGCAUCGGUUUGAGUGGUGGGAUAAAGGCCUUGGGAAUGUAGCUCCUCUCGGGGAGUGUUAUAGACCAAGGUGCAAUGCCGCCUACUCGGACCGAGGACCGCGCUUCGGCUAGGAUGCUGGCGUAAUGGUUGUAAGCGACCCGUCUUGAAACACGG
rnacentral:rRNA from 1 species